rnacentral:rRNA from 1 species
CCUACGGGAGGCAGCAGUGGGGAAUCUUUCACAAUGGGGGAAACCCUGAUGCAGCGACGCCGCGUGCGUGAAGAAGUACUUCGGUUUGUAAAGUUCUAUUAGAAGCGAGGAAUAUGAUGGUACCUUAUGAAUAAGCAUCGGCUAACUACGUGCCAGCAGCCGCGGUCAUACGUAGGAGGCGAGCGUUAUCCGGAUUGACUGGGUGUAAAGAGGGCCUUAAGGGGGAUGAGAAUGAGCUAAUGAAAUCGGGUGGGCCAACCCCUCAGACUAUUAGGGACACUGUAAAGCUGGAGACCGUGAGGGGUAACUGGAAUUUCUAGUGUAGGGGUGAAAUGCGUAGAUAUUACAAAGAACACCGAUAGUGUAGGCAGGUCGCUGGGCUGCAUCUGACACUAAGGCACGAAAGUGUAGGUAGCAAACGGGAUUAGAUACCCCGGUAGUC